AGAGUUUGAUCCUGGCUCAGGACGAACGCUGGCGGCGUGCCUAACACAUGCAAGUCGAGCGGAGAUAUGAGCAAUUGUAUCUUAGCGGCGGACGGGUGAGUAACGCGUGGGCAACCUGCCCUUGACUGGGGGAUAACACAGGGAAACUUGUGCUAAUACCGCAUAAUACCAUUGGGGGACAUCCUUCGAUGGUCAAAGGA
rnacentral:rRNA from 1 species